rnacentral:rRNA from 1 species
AGCAGCCGCGGUAAUUCCAGCUCCAAUAGCGUAUAUUAAAGUUGUUGCAGUUAAAAAGCUCGUAGUUGAAUUUCGAGAUCAAUUUGUCGGUCGUGCCUCGGUACGUACUGGCAUUAUUGAUUUCUUCCUUCUGAAGAACCUCGAUGUCAUUAAUUUGGUGUCUUGGGGAAUCAGGACUGUUACUUUGAAAAAUUAGAGUGUUUAAAGCAAGCUCACGCUUGAAUACAUUAGCAUGGAAUAAUGAAAUAGGACGUUUGAUUCUAUUUUGUUGGUUUCUAGGAUCGACGUAAUGAUUAAUAGGGAUAGUUGGGGGCAUUAGUAUUCAAUUGUCAGAGGUGAAAUUCUUGGUAUUUAUUGAAGACUAACUACUGCGAAGCAUUUGUCCAAGGAUGUUUUCUAUUAAUCAAGAACGAAAGUUAGGGGAUCGAAGACGAUCAGAUACCGUCGUAGUCUUAACCAUAAAACU